CGGACGGGUGAGUAACGCGUGGGUAACCUGCCCCCAUACAGGGGGAUAACAGUUGGAAACGGCUGCUAAUACCGCAUAAGCGCACAGUACCGCAUGGUACCGUGUGAAAAACUCCGGUGGUAUGAGAUGGACCCGCGUCUGAUUAGGUAGUUGGUGGGGUAACGGCCUACCAAGCCGACGAUCAGUAGCCGACCUGAGAGGGUGACCGGCCACAUUGGGACUGAGACACGGCCCAAACUCCUACGGGAGGCAGCAUG
rnacentral:rRNA from 1 species